AAAAACAAAAAAAAAAUAUAUAUAUAUAUAUAUAUAGAAAAAGAUACAAAUACAUGUGAAAGUUUGAAACAAUCUAUUCAAUGAAAAAAUUAUACAGUAAACUUAUUAUGUUUUAAAAUUUACCAAUUUAAAAUUGAAAACAAAAUAUUUAUAUAAAAAUAAAUAAAAACAAAAACCUGCGCAGUUAUGCGGGUCGAGAUCUAUUAUCUAUCAUUAUUUGUUUUUAUGAGGAAAAACAAACAUGCAGCAAAAUAAUACGAUGAUUUUGGUUUAGCUGGCAGUGCUCCAUUUUUUUGUUUUAUUACUUCACCUUGUUUUUUGUUUCUUGGCAAUAUCCGCUUUGAUCGCUAAACUGUAGAUCAAAAAAUCAUAACCAAACCUCACAACUCUAUACAAAAGUAUUUACAAAUGGUUAGCUUACUGGCAACGAAAAACUUUAGCAGGAUAGACAUAGUUGAUAGUUCUAGCAAAUUUUGACAGCUACCUGAGAUAUACAAAUGCAUAUAUACAUAUAAUGCACACUGGAGAUUGCACACACACACACAUAUAUGUAGUUUAUACUAACACUCAAGGCUCAACAAGUAGACAUAGAGCCAUGCUAUUCUUGCUUGGAUUUUAGUUGCAUUACAUUAUCCUCUUCAUCCGUCUUUUUAUAUCUUUUAAAUUUUAAAUUAUGUAUAUCUCUUUCUGUUAUUUAUAUUAGGUUUCAAGUAUAUAAAUAUUAGGUUCUGAUCGUGAUGUCUUUCUUAUCUUUCAAGGAGUAUACAAAUUGAUUGAUGGCAAAGUAACUAUUUUACUGUUUCAGGUAUAUUGUAAAAAGAAUGACUUGAAAGUAUUUCGAAAAGACUGAUAUCAUCUACAAGCUUAUCCUUGUAGCAGUGAUAGAUAAUUUAACUAUAAAAAUAUUUAAAUUCUUUUAAAUCUUUUUGAACUGGUAUGAACAAUAUUCAUACUCUAGAUCAAAUAUUAAAUUGUUCUCGUCUUUAUAAUAACUUUCGUUUGAAUUUGUAAGUAUUAAUAUGAAUAACACUUUUGAUCAAAUCUUACCUUUCUUAUCUUUUACUGUAAGCAGUUUAGUGUUUGAAGAAUAUUUACCCAAAAUCAUAACUAACCAGAGAAUGAUUAGUUUGUAGAACAAAAACAAAAGAAAAAAUAUGAUAGUUUGAAGAACUUAAAUAGUUUUCAAUUUAAAAUGAAUGGUGGGCAAUAUUUCCUUUUGCAUUUAUAUUAAGAAAGCCAGUUACAAUGGUAUAAAUAAAGCCGAAAUACAUAAAUGAAACAGCUAGUUCGGUAGUGUGCGGUGAAGUGGAGUGAGUAAGAAGUAAGAGUGAGUUGUAGUUGUAGUGUUGAAGUGUGGUGAGGUGUUGUGUUAUGUCUAUCCACUCCUUUUGGACAAAAACUUCUUUUUAUAAAUAAUGUCCUCAAGCCCCACCACCACUCUCUCCUCUUCCUCUUAAUAUAAAAACACCCUCUACUAUUUGGUAUGCCACUCAUUUUCUCACCUUAUUAUCAUUUUAAAAGAUAUAUUUUCAAGAACUUUCCACCUCUUUCCUUGGGCAUACAUGUAUGUAUAUGUUUGUUCGUGUGUAGAUUUUUUAGUCAUCUUUUUUUCUUUAAAGUAGAAAUCAAUACUAAUUUUUGAACUUAUGGUUGUUAUAAGUAAACAGAAACGCACUAACGAAUGGAGAAUCAAUAGAUAAAACUGAAAUCAUGAAAUUGUGUGAUGCUUUUGGGAGUUAAGCGAUUGAUUUAACAUGGUUCAAAUAUAGUAGUCUCUCUAGAGUUCACCAUUUAGUUAUGCAAUACUAUAUGAGUUACGCCCGAUCUUAAUUUAUUCUUUGAUUAAACCUAUUGCAUCUUAGUAAAAAAACUAGCUUCAAAGCUUUAUGAUUCUUACAAACCAAGCGAUAGUAGCUUAGAUGGCUUUAUAUUUUUUAAGUUCUAAUUUAUCUCUGUCUUAUAGUUAAUAAAUAAUUUUAUAUUGAGAACACUUUUAAGAGCCUAUAAACUAGAAAAAAAAAUUGUAACUGGGAGUUGAGAGGAAAACAACAACCUGCAAGUGAAGUAAAGCAAGCUAAAGAGUGGGUUGGAUCCGGUUUUGUAGAAACAAGAUCUUUUGGUUAAUCCUAACUUGGAAGCUAUGUCACAUGUAUGCCAGGCUCAUUCACACCCACCAAUUAUAAUUGGAUAAACUAAUUUUGAAAUAAUAAAAACGGAGUUGGCUAAUGUUUAGUAUAAGUGUUCAAAUAAACAGUUGUAUGUAUGAAAACGUAAUUUUGGCAUUCUACAUCGUUCAAUUAAACUAAAUCUUACAACGUGAAACAUAUAUGCUCAGUCCAUCAAGUCCUCUAGAUCGUCUAAAUUAUUCACUGUGCCUGAGAAAUUUAAACGCUAAAUGAUACUUCACUACUAAUAUAUAUUUGUGUAAACCUUUAUUUUAGAAUAUUGGUUGGAAUGAGUUGUGUAAUUGGUGGAAGAUACAACUAAAGAUGCGGCGGUGCAUCUUGACCCUUACGUGCCUCACACUUCCUUCUCCUUUGUCUUCUUACGCUAAGUAUCUUUCUCUCUUUGCUAACGUACAUUUUUUGUUGUUUCCACACCGAACCUGCUUACGUCAUAUUUAUCUGUUUCGUAAAAUUUCUUGGCAUUAAAAAAGACAUCUACUUGACAAUGGUAAGUUCAAACAUCUACGUAAAAUGAUAGCAAAGAAAAAAAAACAUGAUUUCUUGAUUUCAUAAUAACUCCUUAGGUUAGUCCAGAGAUUUUGGGGUCUGUGGUUGUGUUUAUAUAAAAAAAAAGUUUUUUUACAAAUUUUGGGGUGCAAAAUUGUUUUGGGCUUACUCGUAUGUAAAUUUUUUUCAAAAACUUUAGAAGUCUAUUGCGAAUGUUUCACUUAUCAUGAUCCAUGACUGGCUCUGGAGACAUAUAAUAAAUUUUAUAAGCUUUACAAAGAUAAUUUGGCAUUUGAUAUGAAAUAUUUUUGAUUGAUAUAAAAGACUUUACUUAAUUUAGUUUUAUUUUGUGAUCAUGUGCAUGGAUUAAAGAUAUGAAAUAUUUGUUUUUAGAUAUUUUGAAUUGUACACUGGAGUUGUCAAAAAAGCACACUGGUAUAUAAUAUACUUAAAAAUUGUAGAACUAUGAUCUUAUACACAUAUAUAUGUACGUAUGUAUUUCUUUUUAAAAACAAAUGCUUGCUUCUCGAGUUAACCAAAAUAUACGUAAUUUUAUUUUCGUCCAAUUUGAAAAAAAUCAUAUAACCGUAGUUUUACGAGCCAGUAAAUACUAAAGUUCAGUAACACAACGGUCUGUGUACAUAAAUGAAUUCACAUGAUAUUAGGGGCUAAAACCGCUAAGAUGUUUGAUAAACAAAGGAACUGUCUCGGACCUUGUGGUCUGGUGAUAAGAAAACCGGCUCCGAAACACCAAUAUGUUUUAAGUUCGAUUUAUUUGAUCCGUGAAAUUAGAUCACAUUGUUCUGAACAUCCACAUAGAUAUGAACCUUUGUUUUUGGCCCAUUUGAAUAUCCGAAAAGAAAUUGACCAUAUAAAUCCGAGAUUUUCUAGAUUAAUCAAAGAAAAAAACAAAGGAACUGAUUUCCAUUCAUCUACCACACUGGAGUAGUGCCACUAGUAGACCAUUUAGUCCGAACACGAACACAAAAACCAUGUAUUAACAACAGUUAAGAAUCGUUUUGUGACCAAAGCUCGUCUAGUUUAAUGGAUAGUAACUUCAAAUUCAUUUUUCGUUCUUUGGUGGUAUGAUGUGUAGAAAUCUCCAAACCACAAAGUAUCUUUUUCCACGAAUGUCUUUCAGGAUUUCACAUAUAUCUUAAAUGAUGAAGCUUCUUACGAUAACUCGUUUAGUCUAUAAAUCGUUUUAGGCUAAACCUGGAUAAAAGAAAAUUUUUUGAAUUUCAGGCUUUAAAACACAGCGUGAAAUUGUUGAGGUUUUCCAUCAUAAGCUUUAGUAAUUAGUAAAUCAAGAGUACCGUACCCAAAACAAGUAGGAUAAUAAAUUAUUUAACAUAAAAAGGAAAACACAAAACAAACUGGAUGGUAGUAUUAUGUUUAGGAAAUAUGACGCGGUGAGUAAAAAAUUAGUAGCUUUUAGCCACACAUCUGUUGGUGUCGUUGCUUUACGCAACAUCAUGCAUCUCUUCUUCUACUGUUUCCUGAUUUGUUUAUAAAAGGUUCUUUUUUCUUAUUUAUGAUUAGCAACCAAAUGAUUUCAAUUAUUUCCUCAUUAUGUAUCUAAACAUUACAAAUAUGUUUAUAUACGUGUGUGUAUAUCUUCGUCACUGUAAAAUUGAAAUCGAUAUAAUUAGUUUGAUUAGGACCACUAUAAAAAUAUUGAUCUGUAUAUGACUAUCCAUGUGUGAGUGUAUCUAUUAAAUAGUUCUGUAAAGGAUGUGAGGGCCACUUCAAGUACAAGACAAUAAGGUUUGGAAUAGCCCAACGUGAUUAAGAGUAACUUCUUCCAAUCAUUUCAUUGAAUUAUUGUGCCUAAUCAAAACUUUAAUAACGAAAAUAACUUCGUAUUUUUUUAUAAAGCUUAAUGGUAGCAUUUAUUUGGUACAACUAAUACUUUUUCCUACCAAGAUAAAAAUUAAUAUUUGCGGCUGUAGAAAUAAAGAAUAGAAAACAAAAUAUACCGCAGAACCGCAAGUAAAUCAUUUGAUUGGGGUAUACCAGUGGCAAGUUGUUACACAUUGGUUACAUACAUGAGUUUAUAUAGUGGAAAAAAUAUUAGUAUAUGGAAGCAGCAAUCCCAAUCCCUAUGCAAAGUCAAAAAUGUUGCAUGAAAUUAGCAAAAUAUUCCGGUGAAGAAAAGAUGUGAUGGGUUUGGUGUAUGUAACAGACUUGCAUCCCACACAUUACCUUUCCUUAGCCCCAAAAUGAUGUUGAAUUAUAUCCACUUGAAAUUUAUUCUUAUUAUCUUUUUUUAUUCUUAUUAUCUUUAACCCACUAAACAAAAUUUUCUUUUUUUGCAAGAAAAUGUCUCCAAGUUUUCAAUAGAGAAAAUAGUACUUUUAUUAGUACAAUCCACACAUACUUUUUAACUUGAAUCAAUAUAAUAAUUACUCAACUAAUAUAAAUCACUAAAAUACAAGUUUCCAUUAAAUUGUGCAUAUAUUUUAUAAGUAUUAUAAGAAAAAAUUUGGUAAACAAACAAUAAGUAUUAUAAGUUCACCGUUUUAGCUUCUUUUUUUUUGCCAGGUCUUUUGUGGGACAGUGGCUUAGCCACUAUGCCUUGUACAUUCGACAUAUAUGGGUUAAAAACUCCAUUUUAAUUACGAGCAUUAACAAGUAUGAAGAUAAAAAGGUUUAUAGUUUUUCAAGUAUUUGCUUCUACUUUACCAAAACAAAAGUAUUUGCUUCUAACCUGGAGAUGUUAACUGUAAUAGUAAAACCUUCUUUCAUAAUGGUAGAGCUAUCAGGUUUGAAUCUCAUCAGCUACCGGAGAUAUUUAACAGUCGGUUCUUAUCUUGGUCCAAAAAUAUUAUAAAUUUCAGUCCAGAACUUUUUGAAUU